UCUCUAACCAAAGUUUAAGUAUUGAGCAGUUCAAAUAUUUUUAUUUUUUAUUUUAGCAACAUUUCAAUCGUUGUCGAUGACCAUUAGAGAACGCGCUUCAUUCAAUUGCCAUUGUAUCUUUAUCUCAUUUUGCCGCAAUUACCAACGCAUCCAAUUGUAGUCAAGUGCCCCAUCUUCUAGCGCUGCGGCUCUCCCAGGAGUAAAGCGCGUCAAUUACUUGGAAGUUUUUGGGCUUAUUACCGAUGGAUAGAAGAAGAAUGCCUGCAGCUGCUACAAGUCAAAUAAAACAUAUUACAAAUGCCGCACCCGGCCUUCUACCCACUAUGGACAUUCCCUCCCCGCCUUUGCCUGUAUCUGGGCACUAUUACUCAGACUUAAGCGCCUCGAGAUGUGCCAGCAAUCUGACAAAUUUCGCACAAAUUAUGCGACGAACACCACAAAAUGAUGACGACUAUAACGACAAAGGGGAAGAGGCUGGAAAGGGGCAUGAGCAGGACCACAACCAGGACGAUCUGGUCGGGCUGCCCGUCCUGUGCCGUACAACAAAAGGCGACGAAAUUAUUAUUGCAUUAAGUGGAAUUAUUAAAUUUCAUCGGCAUCGCAGGCAGCCGCAAACGGAAGCAUAACGACGGCUCAGCACAAAUAAAAAUAAAUAAAUCUAAUCAAAAA